AUUGAACGCUGGCGGCAUGCCUUACACAUGCAAGUCGAACGGUAACGGGCCUUCGGGUGCCGACGAGUGGCGAACGGGUGAGUAAUACAUCGGAACGUGCCCGAUCGUGGGGGAUAACGAGGCGAAAGCUUUGCUAAUACCGCAUACGAUCUACGGAUGAAAUCAGGGGACCGCAAGGCCUUGCGCGGGCGGAGCGGCCGAUGGCGGAUUAGGUAGUUGGUGGGAUAAAAGCUUACCAAGACGACGAUCUGUAGCUGGUCUGAGAGGAUGAUCAGCGACACUGGGACUGAGACACGGCCCAGACUCCUACGGGAGGCAGUAGUGGGGAAUUUUGGACAAUGGGCGCAAGCCUGAUCCAGCCAUGCCGCGUGCAGGAUGAAGGCCUUCGGGUUGUAAACUGCUUUUGUACGGAACGAAAAGCCUUCUUUUAAUACAGGAGGGUCAUGACGGUACCGGAAGAAUAAGCACCGGCUAACUACGUG
rnacentral:rRNA from 1 species